UACCCGCUACAGCAUAAAUCACUGUAAAGGAUUCCUAAUAUUUAUAGUGAAUCCCGAAACAACGCCUACAUACACCGGUAUAUAAACACAUGGAACCUUCGUCAGCUGUAAGCAACGCUGGCUGGAAAAGGGAUACCGCAUCACGAUGAAGCUCGUGUUUCUUCUGCUCGUGUGUGUCAUUGUGACACUGAAUGCACAGACAGCAACAACUCAAACUCCAGUACCUCAGACAUACCCCCCAUACCAGCCAUACCAGCCAUACCAGCCAUACAACCCCUGGGGGUAUCAACCUCGUCCUAAUUUCUUCAGCCCGCAGAAUUUCUUCUGGUACUGGUUCAUGUCGCAGAAUAAUUAGUUCUUGGAUCAAACAGUUCCCUGCAACUGCAGACUGUACAGGUCACGUGACACGUGACGUCACGUUGUGGACAAUAUGCAUUAUUCUGUAGAUACGUAAACUUCAAUAAAACAGCUUUUAGUUUUCA